GCGCUAGAAAAGGACCCGCCGAAAGGGGUAAUCCGUUUAUUGUAAUGUUUGCUCUCAGUAGGCCGCCCCAUUUAUUUCCCGGGCUCCGCCCAUCCCGGCCGUCAAGUGGCACGCCUCCAACUCAAGAUUCUCGGGGGAAUGAGGCGGAGCUUUGUUAUUCCCUGCUCCCAACCUCCCCCUCCCUUACCCCUGCCAGGUGGCGCUUAUUUAGGAUUUGAGACGGGCUCAGUCCACCUGGCCAAUCAAGCUCCGCCCACUCCCAUCCUAGCCAAGGCUCUAGAGUGCUUUCAUCCCCGCCCCCUUCAACUCCGCCUUAAUCCGCGUGCUUCAGAAAGAGAACUGGGCUAAGGGAGGAGAAAGUGGAAGAGGCUGGCAACAGUCUGCCAGUUCUUGUGCCUCACUAACUUCCUCGCGCUAGAAAAGGACCCGCCGAAAGGGGUAAUCCGUUUAUUGUAAUGUUUGCUCUCAGUAGGCCGCCCCAUUUAUUUCCCGGGCUCCGCCCAUCCCGGCCGUCAAGUGGCACGCCUCCAACUCAAGAUUCUCGGGGGAAUGAGGCGGAGGUUUGUUAUUCCCUGCUCCCAACCUCCCCCCUCCCUUACCCCUGCCAGGUGGCGCUUAUUUAGGAUUUGAGACGGGCUCAGUCCACCUGGCCAAUCAAGCUCCGCCCACUCCCAUCCUAGCCAAGGCUCUAGAGUGCUUUCAUCCCCGCCCCCUUUAACUCCGCCUUAAUCCGCGUGCCUGAACCCUUGGUGUUCAGAAAGAGAACUGGGCUAGGGGAGGAGAAAGUGGAAGAGGCUGGCAACAGUCUGCCAGUUCUUGUGCCUCACUAACUUCCUCGGGCUAGAAAAGGACCCGCCCAAAGAGAUAUUAGCAUUGAUCCAUCUCAAAAUCAUGUGCAGAGAUGGCACAGAGUAGGAAAGCACAGAAUCAGAGCUGGAAGGAACCCCCUCCUCAAGGUCAUCUAGCUCAAUCCAUCCCAGAAGAGGAAUCUCACUUAUGUACAUCUCUUUGGUGGAAAACUUUCAGAAACGGGAGCCUACAAACUCCGGAGUCAAUCCAUUUUACUCAGUUUCAAGUGUUUCCUUACAUUGAGACCUUUCUGCAACCUACGAACUCACUACUUCUAGGUUUGCCCCUUGAAGACAAACAGAACAAAUGCCAUCACUUUGCCACAUAACUGCUCUUCAGAUUCUUGAAAGAGAAGAAGUCAGGGUACAUAUGCUAGUUGUAUGACACCUACCCUGCACUCCCUAUUCCCUCAUCAAACCAAAGGAAAAGUUAAAGGAGUUAAUGAGAGUGAAUACCUGAAAUCUUAGUUCUGGCAUCUUGAGCACAGACACAGAUUAAGGAAUACUAACUCAUAAUAACAGGAAUGUAUCCACUUUGCUUGCCAUUCACAUUACUCUUCAUACUGGGUCUUCUAUGUUGUUGAAUAUAAAAUAAAUAAUUUAAUAAUUAUACAAAA